rnacentral:rRNA from 1 species
CCUACGGGCGGCAGCAGUAGGGAAUAUUGCUCAAUGGGGGAAACCCUGAAGCAGCAACGCCGCGUGGAGGAUGAAGGUUUUCGGAUUGUAAACUCCUUUUGUUAGAGAAGAUAAUGACGGUAUCUAACGAAUAAGCACCGGCUAACUCCGUGCCAGCAGCCGCGGUAAUACGGAGGGUGCAAGCGUUACUCGGAAUCACUGGGCGUAAAGAGCGCGUAGGCGGGAUAGCAAGUCAGAUGUGAAAUCCUAUGGCUUAACCAUAGAACUGCAUUUGAAACUGUUAUUCUAGAGUAUGGGAGAGGUAGGUGGAAUUCUUGGUGUAGGGGUAAAAUGCGUAGAGAUCGAGAGGAAUACUCAUUGCGAAGGCGACCUGCUAGAACAUAACUGACGCUGAGGCGCGAAGGCGUGGGGAGCAAACAGGAUUAGAUACCCCUGUAGUC